GGCCUAACACAUGCAAGUCGAGCGCCCCGCAAGGGGAGCGGCAGACGGGUGAGUAACACGUGGGAACGUACCUUUUGCUACGGAACAACUCCGGGAAACUGGAGCUAAUACCGUAUGAGCCCUUCGGGGGAAAGAUUUAUCGGCAAGAGAUCGGCCCGCGUUGGAUUAGCUAGUUGGUGGGGUAAAGGCCUACCAAGGCGAGGAUCCAUAGCUGGUCUGAGAGGAUGAUCAGCCACAUUGGGACUGAGACACGGCCCAAACUCCUACGGGAGGCAGCAGUGGGGAAUAUUGGACAAUGGGCGCAAGCCUGAUCCAGCCAUGCCGCGUGAGUGAUGAAGGCCCUAGGGUUGUAAAGCUCUUUCACCGAUGAAGAUAAUGACGGUAGUCGGAGAAGAAGCCCCGGCUAACUUCGUGCCAGCAGCCGCGGUAAUACGAAGGGGGCUAGCGUUGUUCGGAAUUACUGGGCGUAAAGCGCACGUAGGCGGAUAUUUAAGUCAGGGGUGAAAUCCCAGAGCUCAACUCUGGAACUGCCUUUGAUACUGGGUAUCUUGAGUAUGGAAGAGGUGAGUGGAAUUCCGAGUGUAAAGGUGAAAUUCGUAGAUAUUCGGAGGAA
rnacentral:rRNA from 1 species